ACGAGAUAAUUUGAAUGAAAGAAUGUUCGUUCGCGGCAUACAAGCUGCACGUGCUUGGAAAGCGUAGAGAGUAAAGCCUUUCCUUUCUCUCCUGCUAGCUAGCUGACUAGGCGUAUUUUCACCUACGGUUAAUAGCACAGGAAUGAGAUAACGCUCUGACCCUGAAAUGAAAAGACAUCUGCACCGAACCCUGAACAGUUCUAGCUAGUUCAAAACUAGGUCGAGCCAAAGCUUUGCACGAUUUAUAGCUUUACUGACCGCGAGGGUGUCCUCGGAUGGGAAACCCACGAUUGAGAGGUCAGAUCAAACAUCCUCAUUGAUCCAACUCGGGUUGGUAUGCUCACAAAGAGAGACCCUAUCACAUGUGUUUAAGUUUGAGAGCCACCCAGUUCUCUAUGGGUCGAAGCCCCCGACCAAGACCUUGUCGCGGAUGGAGUUGCCCGAUAAUAUGACUUACUGUUUAUGUUAUGGCUCUGUUGCUGGACAGUCAGCGGGCUGUCCUUGACAAGUGAUCAAUACAAAGAACUCCGAUCGAUGGAAGAAAGUGAGCACUUAACCUCACCUAGAUCUUCCUUUGUUGCACCUAAUAGAGAAAGAAGACUGGUAAUAGGUCUCUUUUCUUUUGGAAAAAUCGAACGUUGUGUAGCCUGUUUUCUUUUGAUUCAUCCAAUUGUGGAGAGUGAGUCUAGUAUCAUACUUCCAAUUUCUCUAAAGGAGUUGACCCGCAUCAGUCAGAGGGAUGAUAUAUUGACAGACUUAUCCUUGGACCAUUUUCUGCCUACUUUACUGGCCUGGCCCUACCCCCUACUUGAAUGAAAGCACUACGCCAAGUCCUUUGUCUUAUUCCUUACUCUAUUGGCUGGCUCGCGGGACUACUUGACCAGUGGAACCACUCCAUUUUCUUACUAGUUAUUCAUUAAGCCCGUCUUUAAUGCAUACUUUUUUCAUUUAGCCCAGGAGGGAUUUAUCGACUCAAAUUGAAUACGAAUGAUCACUCGCUGCACCUUUCUUCUCUAACUCUAACGGUGGAGUAUAGUAAGCUCUGCGGUAAGGGUAAGAUUCUCUAAGAAGCACAAGAGCUGAUACCUAAGAUGAAUUGGUUAUUAAUUAGAUUGAGUCCCAUGCAUGUACGGACACAUAAAACAUACAUUU
rnacentral:lncRNA from 1 species